GACGAACGCUGGCGGCGUGCUUAACACAUGCAAGUCGAACGGAAAGGCCCUGAUUUUGUGGUGUGAUCGAGUGGCGAACGGGUGAGUAACACGUGAGUAACCUGCCCUUGAUUUUGGGAUAACUUCAGGAAACUGGGGCUACUACCGGAUAGGAGCUCCUGCUGCAUGGUGGGGGUUGGAAAGUUUCGGCGGUUGGGGAUGGAUUCGCGGAUUAUCGGCUUGCUGGUGGGGUGGUGGCUUACCAAGUCUUUGACCGGUAGCCGGCCUGAGAGGGUGACCGGCGACAUGGGGACUAAGAGACGGCGCAGAAGCCUAUGGGAGGCAGCAGGGGGGAAUAUUGCACAAUGGGCGGAAGCCUGAGGCAGCGACGCCGGGUGCGGGAUGACGGCCUGCUGGUUGUAAACCGCAUUCGCCUGUGACGAAGCGGUAGUGACGGUAAUGGGUAAAGAAGCACCGGCUAACUACGUG
rnacentral:rRNA from 1 species